rnacentral:rRNA from 1 species
UACGUAGGAGACGAGCGUUGUCCGGAAUUACUGGGCGUAAAGCGCGUGUAGGCGGAUGAGCAAGUCUGCUGUGAAAGCUCCUGGCUUAACCGGGAGUGGUCGGUGGAAACUGCUCGUCUGGAGGACGGUAGAGGUAGGUAGAAUUCCCGGUGUAGUGGUGAAAUGCGUAGAGAUCGGGAGGAAUACCGGUGGCGAAGGCGGGUCUCUGGGCAUCUCCUGACGCUGAGGCGCGAAAGCGUGGGGAGCAAACGGG